rnacentral:rRNA from 1 species
CCCUGGCUCAGGACGAACGCGGGCGGCGUGCCUAAUACAUGCAAGUCGAGCGGAAUGAUGAAGAAGCUUGCUUCUUCUGAUUUUAGCGGCGGACGGGUGAGUAACACGUGGGCAACCUACCUUGUAGAUUGGGAUAACUCCGGGAAACCGGGGCUAAUACCGAAUAAUCCAUUUUGCUUCAUGGCAAGAUGUUGAAAGGCGGCUUCGGCUGUCACUACGAGAUGGGCCCGCGGCGUAUUAGCUAGUUGGUAGGGUAAUGGCCUACCAAGGCGACGAUACGUAGCCGACCUGAGAGGGUGAUCGGCCACACUGGGACUGAGACACGGCCCAGACUCCUACGGGAGGCAGCAGUAGGGAAUCUUCCACAAUGGACGAAAGUCUGAUGGAGCAACGCCGCGUGAGUGAAGAAGGUUUUCGGAUCGUAAAACUCUGUUGUAAGGGAAGAACACGUACGAGAGUAACUGCUUCGUACCUUGACGGUACCUUAUUAGAAAGCCACGGCUAACUA